AACAUGUCCUCCUGGCCCUCCACAGGCGUGAGACUCGCAUCCACCCGCCGGUAGGAAAGUGUGUGAGGCAGACAUGGUAGCAUGCCUGUGUAUUGCAGAACUGGAGGCCGAGGUUUGGCGUAAAUGGCGUUGAGGGGAAAGCCAGGCUCGCCAGGAAUGGGAAAGUUGGUGAUUCCUAGCGUGUACAUUUCUUUCUCGCCUUGGCUUCUGGAGUUGCACUAAAAUCAAAUGACACAGUUGGUAAGAAAAUGUGAACGUAAUGCCGGAAAUGCAACCUUUCACUGCAAGCAGCUGCCGGGAGCGCCCGUCUGCAGAGGGAGAACCUGCAGCCCUCUUUAGCUCUGCUCCAAGGACUAAGCCCAGACAGACUACCACAGCAGCCGGAAUACAGUAGUUUAAAUACUAAAAACCAAAUGUCAUACAGGGAGAAGAGAACAACGGUACCCAUGGGAGGUGGAUCCUUCGAGCGUCGGCCUCCAUUAUCCACUGGCAUCCCUAGGGUGCUCAGUUUCCUAACCCAGUCUUGUGGCUGCCCUGAGCCACAGCGGGGCUCAUUUAAAAAACCCUUUCCCCUGAGUGUCUCUGAGAACAGACACACCUCUUCCUUGGCAGUGGGAAAAGCCACUGCACAUACAACAAGUUCUGGGGGAACUCAACAGGCCCAACAUCAUCCCCGACUGUAAGGACAGAAGACAGCCGGUGACCACUGAUCACGUGUGGCCUGUUUUACAGUUACAGUCAGAAA
rnacentral:lncRNA from 1 species